UGUAAGCUACUGGCAAUCAUCC
rnacentral:misc_RNA from 1 species